rnacentral:rRNA from 1 species
GACGAACGCUGGCGGCGUGCUAAACACAUGCAAGUCGAACGGAAAGGCCCUGCUUUUGUGGGGUGCUCGAGUGGCGAACGGGUGAGUAACACGGGAGUAACCUGCCCUUGACUUUGGGAUAACUUCAGGAAACUGGGGCUAAUACCGGAUAGGAGCUCCUGCUGCAUGGUGGGGGUUGGAAAGUUUCGGCGGUUGGGGAUGGACUCGCGGCUUAUCAGCUUGUUGGUGGGGUAGUGGCUUACCAAGGCUUUGACGGGUAGCCGGCCUGAGAGGGUGACCGGCCACAUUGGGACUGAGAUACGGCCCAGACUCCUACGGGAGGCAGCAGUGGGGAAUAUUGCACAAUGGGCGGAAGCCUGAUGCAGCAACGCCGCGUGCGGGAUGACGGCCUUCGGGUUGUAAACCGCUUUCGCCUGUGACGAAGCGUGAGUGACGGUAAUGGGUAAAGAAGCACCGGCUAACUACGUG